AGAGUUUGAUCCUGGCUCAGAACGAACGCUGGCGGCGUGCUUAACACAUGCAAGUCGAACGUGAAAGUGGCUUCGGCCAUGAGUAAAGUGGCAGACGGGUGAGUAACACGUGGGUAACCUGCCCCUUGGCGGGGGAUAACCAUUCGAAAGGAUGGCUAAUACCGCAUAAGACCACGUCCCUGAUGGGAUGGGGUAAAAGACGAAAGUCACCGAGGGAGGGGCCCGCGGCCGAUUAGCUAGUUGGUGAGGYAAUGGCUCACCAAGGCGACGAUSGGUAGCUGGUCUGAGAGGAUGAUCAGCCACACUGGAACUGAGACACGGUCCAGACUCCUACGGGAGGCAGCAGUGGGGAAUUUUGCGCAAUGGGSGAAASCCUGAYGCAGCAACGCCGCGUGAGUGAUGAAGGCCCUUGGGUCGUAAAGYUCUGACAGAGGGAAAGAAAUGURGAGKGGCUAAUAUCCMYAYYACUUGACGGUACCCUCAAAGGAAGCACCGGCUAACUCCGUGCCAGCAGCCGCGGUAAUACGGRGGGUGCRAGCGUUGUUCGGAUUUAUUGGGCGUAAAGCGCGUGUAGGCGGUUUUWUAAGUCUGAUGUGAAAGCCCYGGGCUCAACCYGGGAAGUGCAUUGGAUACUGKAAGACUUGAAUACGGGAGAGGGCAGUGGAAUUCCUAGUGUAGGAGUGAAAUCCGUAGAUAUUAGGAGGAACACCGGUGGCGAAGGCGGCUGCCUGGACCGAUAUUGACGCUGAGACGCGAAAGCGUGGGUAGCAAACAGGAUUAGAUACCCUGGUAGUCC
rnacentral:rRNA from 1 species